rnacentral:rRNA from 1 species
UCAGUCGGGUCCUAAGGCGAGGCCGACAGGCGUAGUCGAAUGGAUGAACGGGUCGAUAUUCCCGUACCGGCUUUCAGCCGCCAAAACCGAAAGGGUGAGCACUAACCUCCGCGUCGUCGUCUCCCCGGCCUUCGGGCCUGGGUCGCGGCGUCGUGUUGGGACCGUAGCCCCGGUAGGUCAGCGCAGGAGUGACGCAGAAGGGUAGCCGGCCGCGGAGGUGGUUUUCCGUGGCCAAGCACGCAGCCCGUCCCCCAGGCAAAUCCGGGGGGCAUCAGGGCGAGGUGCGAUGGUGGGGCCCGUAUGGGCCGAAUCCGGUGAUCCCGGCUGCCGAGAAAAGCUUCGGCGUCAGGCUGUCAGCCGCCCGUACCCCAAACCGACACUGGUGGUCAGGUAGAGAAUACCAAAGCGAUCGAGCGAAUCCUGGUCAAGGAACUCGGCAAAUUACUCCCGUGCCUUCGGUAUAAGGGAGACCCCUGCGGGUGAACCAGCUAGCCUGGGGAGCGUGCGGGGGUGGCACAGACCAGGGGGUAGCGACUGUUUACCAAAAACACAGGAGCGUGCGAAGACGUAAGUCGCUGUAUACGCUCUGACGCCUGCCCGGUGCCGGAAGGUUAAGAGGAUCCGUCAUCCCUUCGGGGGGCAGCGGUGAAUUCAAGCCCCGGUAAACGGCGGUGGUAACUAUAACCAUCCUAAGGUAGCGAAAUUCCUUGUCGGGUAAGUUCCGACCUGCACGAAUGGCGUAACGACUUCCCCACUGUCUCGACCAGGAGCUCGGCGAAAUUGCAGUACGAGUAAAGAUGCUCGUUAAGCGCAGAAGGACGAAAAGACCCCGGGACCUUUACUAUACCUUGGUAUUGGCAUUAGGCGCGGAUUGUGUAGCAUAGGCGGGAGGCUUCGAAGCGGGUGCGCCAGCAUCCGUGGAGCCGCAGGUGAAAUACCGCUCUGUUCUCGUUUGAUGUCUAACCUCGACAAGUCAUCCUUGUCAGGGACAGUGCCUGGCGGGUAGUUUAACUGGGGCGGUUGCCUCCCAAAGAGUAACGGAGGCGCUCAAAGGUCCGCUCAGCCCGGUUGGCAACCGGGUGUCGAGUGCAAUCGCACAAGGGGGCUUGACUGCGAGACCGACGGGUCGAGCAGGGACGAAAGUCGGAGAUAGUGAUCCGGUGCCGGCGCACGGGCGCGGCAUCGCUCAACGGAUAAAAGGUACCCCGGGGAUAACAGGCUGAUCAUCCCCAAGAGUCCAUAUCGACGGGAUGGUUUGGCACCUCGAUGUCGGCUCGUCG